UUAUCCUCCCGUGGCCUCCCCACACACCAAACCAGGUUCAAGACAUGCUAUUAGCAGCAAUUAAGAGCCCAAUUAUGUUCUGGAGUUUGCAGCUUGGCUAACCUGAGUUAUGGGCUGAGCCACCAGGCUUCUGGCUGAUCAUUCAGAGCGUGCAAAGGGAAAAAAAUCUGUCGUGUCUGACGUGCCCGAGCUAAAACACUUCAUUUUCCUUUCCAGUUGAUGAGGAAAUUGAGACUCCGGGUGAGAUACAGAGGCCAGGCCAAGCUGGGACAUAAGUGACAUCACAGCAGUGCCUUUGUAACCCAUCUAGGCUCCUCUUCUGCCUCGCACCUGGUUUUGAGGCUCCCAGAGCCAACUCAACAAAAGUCCAAACUGCAGGUGUUAGCUUACAAAGCCCCAGAGGCCACACGCUGGAGCAGCACACUUGUGUCCCUUGGAAGAGCCAGCAGAGCCACUUGCUGAUGGGGUCCUGGACCACAGACUUGCACACGUCCCCUGUCACCCUGGCUUCAGGAAAUGAGGAGCCGGCAUGCAGUGUUUGUUAUUCACAGCUCCGGCAGCGGGAAUCUAUGCUUCCCACCGUCCUGCGGUUCUAAUGGGAGCAAUGCAAGAGAAGCUCGCUCCACACACCUACGGGCAGGCUCCCUGCCAAAGCCCACCACACUCCAGCUUCCUGUUCAUUUUGCCUCAUGGAUGAUUUUUAAAGCUUUUUAAUUGUCCUUAAUAAAUUAUCUA